rnacentral:ncRNA from 1 species
GUGUUGUAUGAAAGGAGGGAAGGUUAGCACUCCCCUUGACAAGGAUGGAAGAGGUCUUUGGGCCUGUACAACAUGCAUAUGGUUAAGGCAUUGCCUACUUCGUGGCAUCUAACCAUUAUUUUUU